rnacentral:rRNA from 1 species
AGUGAACGCUGGCGGUAGGCCUAACACAUGCAAGUCGAACGGCAGCACAGUAAGAGCUUGCUCUUACGGGUGGCGAGUGGCGGACGGGUGAGGAAUACAUCGGAAUCUACUUUUUGGGGGGGGUAAAGGAAGGGAAACUAAGCCAAUAACCCCUACCGCCCUACGGGGGAAAGCAGGGGACCUUCGACCCUUGCGGGAUUGAAUGGGCGAUGUCGGAUUAGCUAGUUGGCGGGGUAAAGGCCCACCAAGGCGACGAUCCGUAGCUGGUCUGAGAGGAUGAUCAGCCACACUGGAACUGAGACACGGUCCAGACUCCUACGGGAGGCAGCAGUGGGGAAUAUUGGACAAAGGGCGCAAGCCUGAUCCAGCCAUACCGCGUGGGUGAAGAAGGCCUUCGGGUUGUAAAGCCCUUUUGUUGGGAAAGAAAAGCAGCAGGUUAAUACCCCGCUGUUCUGACGGUACCCAAAGAAUAAGCACCGGCUAACUUCGUG